GUUACCUGAAGGGAUGGAGCCAGGAUCCACCCCUUCCUAGACCUCAUUUAAGGGUUUGACAGGGGAGGCAAGGGUAUCUUGCUGGGGAUUCCUGUCUUCUGAAGAUGGCAUUGAGCAUUUAUGAAAGAAUGUUGCUCAUCAUUACUUGCUGAAUGUGUGACAGAGCUGGAGGGAGGAAGAACAACUGAGAUCUGAUUCUUACCCCUAGGCCUGUUCCUCUGAGCCUGCCCCUCCCAGGGUGCUGCUGAUCAGAAGUUGGAUUUGGGGCUGUUUUUCAAAAGUGUGCUGUCACCCUAACUAACCAUUACAGGGAGAAAGCGAUUCCAAAUUGCUUCUGCUGAUGGAAAUGAUAGGACAGAAGAAAGGGUGAAAUUAGUGGGUACAACUAUUGACUCACCACACUUUCCUUUGUACGUUCAAGACAGGGGUUUGCUAUUGGCAAUCCUUUGGUCGGGAGCCAAAAUAAGCACAGAUUGUCAUAUUACUGUGAAGAUAC
rnacentral:lncRNA from 1 species